GUCCAACUAGUAUAAUAAAACUGUGUUCUCCAUACAAAUUAUUCGCUGCUUUGACAUUUAUUAUCGAUUAGGAAAGAGGCUUAUGGUUUUUAGAAUAUAGAAUAUUGAUAAAUAAAAAGACGCGAGAUGUCUUAUUGAUGAAAAGUAGAUUCAGAAAUUACUAGUUCAAUAUUGAGAGCGAGUGCUAAUAUAUUAAACUUUUUCUUUCCCUUCAAAAAAAAAAAUUCAACACUUAUCGAGUCCACUUCAUCAAAAAUCAAGAGAAGAGUGGCCCCCAACCCGAUCAAUGGGCCCAUUCUUUUGGGCCUAUGGGCUCAAUUGGGUCAUUUUCUGUCGGUUUAGUCCCCACCCCUUUAUCCUAAAGUUUCCUGGAGGAUCAAAAUGGCUAUGCUAGUUCCGGUGUUCUUCCUGUCCAUUAUAAUACCUUGACAGGGCGAAGAUUCAGUCAUGUAAUAGAGAUCAAUGUUUUAGACGAUAUGAUUUGUUCUGUAUUGGCUUUGACAAGAUUGAGUUUCUCUCAUGAAAUGAGAUUUGUUUUUCUUGCACCCCACCUCUCUCUGCUAGAGAGAUUAAAGUUCGCCAUCAAUCCUUCACAUGAUGCAAAUAUUUCCAGAGCUUGUGGAUGGCAUGAAAAGCAAGCCUUGGAGCAUCACGAGGUGUUGACAAAUUCGACAUGUCCGAUUACUGCAUAUGAUAUUCCAGGGACAUUGUGGCAAGCGGGUGUAUGCUUUAACACAUUCUAAUGGAAGAAGAGGGAAGCGAUGACUUCAUUAGCUGUCGAUAAGUCUCACUUUCCAGGCUUCGAGGUAUUGCACUUUGCUCGUACAUGAUAGUCGAUUCUAUCCUCAUAAUAGUCGUACUAGGAAACAUCCCCCAUGUCUAGCAGCCCAUUACUUACUGAGAUAUGAGAUUGCUAAUUUGGUCGAACAAAUGCAACUCUUAGCAAUGCAUUUCUUGUUUGGAUAUGUCCGAUUUAAUCGGCCUAAGAAGAGGAUGCUGCAGUAACAUGCAACAGGAGACGUAAUUGACCAUGAACGCAUAAGAUUUUCGGAAGGGUCAAAAUUGAGUUCUCAUCUGCAAUCAGCACGUACUAUCAAAUCGCUCGGAUUCUGAGAGUCUUGCAAAUUGGAUGACUUUGUACAAUCUCAACAAUAGUCCCGUAGUGAGAAUCGCCUCUCCUCGUAUGUUCUGUUUCUCUGGAGUUGGUUAAGGUCCUUAAAUUCAAUUAUAUUUCCAUCAAUAUAUUUUAUGAGUCAAAAUAGAGUUAUUAGGCAA